rnacentral:rRNA from 1 species
UAACGCGUGAGGAACCUGCCUUUCAGAGGGGGACAACAGCUGGAAACGGCUGCUAAUACCGCAUGAUGCAAUUGAACCGCAUGAUUUGAUUGCCAAAGAUUUAUCGCUGAAAGAUGGCCUCGCGUCUGAUUAGCUAGUUGGCGGGGUAACGGCCCACCAAGGCGACGAUCAGUAGCCGGUCUGAGAGGAUGAACGGCCACAUUGGGACUGAGAUACGGCCCAGACUCCUACGGGAGGCAGCAGUGGGGAAUAUUGGGCAAUGGGGGAAACCCUGACCCAGCAACGCCGCGUGAAGGAAGAAGGCUUUCGGGUUGUAAACUUCUUUUACCAGGGACGAAGAAAGUGACGGUACCUGGAGAAAAAGCCACGGCUAACUACGUGCCAGCAGCCGCGGUAAUACGUAGGUGGCAAGCGUUGUCCGGAUUUACUGGGUGUAAAGGGCGUGUAGGCGGGGCUGCAAGUCAGAAGUGAAAUCUAUGGGCUUAACCCAUAAACUGCUU